rnacentral:rRNA from 1 species
GACGAACGCUGGCGGUGUGCUUAAUACAUGCAAGUCGAACGAUAAGGCCCCUUCGGGGGUACAUAAGUGGCGGACGGGUGAGUAACACGUAGGCAACCUGCCUUGAGGCGGGGGAUAACACUGGGAAACUGGUGCUAAUACCCCAUAUGUGACAAGUUGAGAUACUUGUUAUGAAAGCUCCGGCGCCUUAAGAUGGGCCUGCGGCUGAUUAGCUUGUUGGUGAGGUAAUGGCUUACCAAGGCAACGAUCAGUAGCUGGUCUGAGAGGAUGAUCAGCCACAAUGGAACUGAGAAACGGUCCAUACUCCUACGGGAGGCAG